rnacentral:tmRNA from 2 species
GUCCGGUUUAGCGUGUGACUGCGCGACUCCGGGGGCGAGACUCAAAUCAGAUCACUAAACAUGUAGAACUGCGCGAAGAAGGCUUGCGGACGGGGGUUCAAAUCCCCCCAGCUCCACCA